UACGAAGGGUGCAAGCGUUGCUCGGAAUUAUUGGGCGUAAAGGGCUGGUAGGUGGUCUUGUUUGUCUAAGGUGAAAUCCCAUGGCUUAACUGUGGAAGUGCCUUAGAAACGGCAAGACUAGAGUCCUAGAGGGGUUUGUGGAAUUCCCGGUGUAGCGGUGAAAUGCGUAGAGAUCGGGAGGAACACCAGCGGCGAAGGCGGCAAACUGGAUAGGCACUGACACUCAACAACGAAAGCGUGGGGAGCAAACAGG
rnacentral:rRNA from 1 species